rnacentral:pre_miRNA from 1 species
AUAGUACUCCCUCCGUCCCAAAAUUCUUGUCUUUGAUUUGUCUAGAUACGGAUGUAUCUAAUACUAAAAUGUGACUUGAUACAUCCGUAUUUAGACAAAUCUAAAACAAAAAUUUUGGGACGGAGGGAGUAUCAU